rnacentral:rRNA from 1 species
AUACGGAGGGGGCUAGCGUUGUUCGGAAUUACUGGGCGUAAAGCGCGCGUAGGCGGAUUGAUCAGUCAGAGGUGAAAUCCCAGGGCUCAACCCUGGAACUGCCUUUGAUACUGUCAAUCUUGAGUUCGAGAGAGGUGAGUGGAAUUCCGAGUGUAGAGGUGAAAUUCGUAGAUAUUCGGAGGAACACCAGUGGCGAAGGCGGCUCACUGGCUCGAUACUGACGCUGAGGUGCGAACGCGUGGGGAGCAAACAGGAUUAGAAACCCCAGUAGUCC